GUGUUUGCUUUGGUAGCACAUAUGCUAAAAUUGGAAUGAUACAUAGAAGAUUAGCAUGGUCCCUGUGCAAGGAUGACAUGCAAAUUUGUGAAGCAUUUCAUAUUUUU
rnacentral:snRNA from 1 species